rnacentral:rRNA from 1 species
GACGAACGCUGGCGGCGCGCCUAACACAUGCAAGUCGAACGGGGAAGUUAGCAAUAACUUCUUAGUGGCGAACGGGUGAGUAACGCGUGGACAACCAACCUUUUAGUGGGGGACAACACUUCGAAAGGAGUGCUAAUACCGCAUAAUCUCUUUUGGCUGCAUGGUUGAAAGAGGAAAGGGGCAACUGCUCCGCUAAAAGACGGGUCCGCGUCUGAUUAGCUAGUUGGAGGGGUAACGGCCCACCAAGGCGACGAUCAGUAGCCGGUCUGAGAGGAUGAACGGCCACACUGGGACUGAGACACGGCCCAGACUCCUACGGGAGGCAGCAGUGGGGAAUCUUCCGCAAUGGACGAAAGUCUGACGGAGCGACGCCGCGUGAGUGAUGAAGGCC